GAAUAUUUAGGCGGAACCUCUUUUCUUCUAAAAGGAAUGGGUGACCUCAAGAAGACAGUGAACCUAUAACUUACUGGUCAGUUGGUAUGGUAUGGGUGCCAAAGCCCCCCAGCUACCAGAAAUAAGCCAAGGCCCCAUAGCAACACAAUCACCCUGUAUUGCCCUUCUGAAUUUAAAAGAAGUUAGUAUUAAUAGUAAAAUAACAGUUGAUGUUGCUUUAACUCUAGAGAGUAGUUGAUUAUUUACUACUGAUACAUGUUUUCUUCCUGUUUAUUUUUAGGAUAACCUUUUUGGAGGCUCUGGGGAUGUUAUUUAUGAAUAUGAAGAGAGAGAGCUAUACCACAAACCCAUCUGUCUCGCACUGGCUCAGUUGAUCUACAGAAAGUGCUCAAACAGCCGGAAGGUUGCUCAGUGUAUGUGUUUAAAAGGCCUAGUGCACCUCUCAGUGCAGACAUUUCUCAUUGGGUAAUCCAUAAUGCUUUUCUGAGUGGUGUUAUUAAUAUUCAUAAUCAUAGGAAUCCAUCACACCCUGUUCUUUGCUUUCUCUUUAGAGGACUAUGGGUUUUUGCUUAGAAAGUGCCCUAGUGCUGAGCUGAUACAUAGCCUAACCAAGGAUCAGAAUGGCAAACUGGCAGCCCUAUCUGUUGGACAGAUCAUACUUUCCCUUAUCUCUACACAUCACAAAGAAUAUGGAUUUCAGCUGCUAGAAAGUAUACUUAACUGUGGUGAAGAAUGAAGCUUAAAAUAACAAGAAAUGACAGGGCCUGGGCUGUGUGAUUGCUCUGGGCAGAGCAUUACUGUCAUUGUGCUGUAUUCCUAGACAAGCACCUCCUGUCUGCCGCCCGCAUCUCCAGGGAGACACGAAACCAGGUCACCUAGACAAGUCCAUCAAAAAUGAAUGAAGUCUCUGGCUCAUGGUGCUUGGGAAAGAUCAGGGAGCUGUUAUCUGGUAACCUUCCCAUUGUUCUGCUGAUGGACUGCUGGGUUCAACUUGCAGUGGAGAAGUAAAGAGAGACUGAAGUCUGUUGGGAAUAGUAGAGGACCUACUCCCAUUGUCUAGACCUAGAACUCUUAUUAAGACUGCUAAGAAAUCUGUAGUGAUGUCUCUCCAACCCCCUACCAUGCAACACUGGCUAUCGCUAGUUAAUAAGGGACUUCUCUACAUUAAAUUGACCUAAGAAGCUUGUGGCUGUCCCACUAAGUUUGAGAAAGUGUGGUCUCCGUGGCUUGACGUACAUCCAGAACAUGACCCCCACAUUUCAAUACCUCCUACCCCCCAAUAAUAUUACUAUUGGCUUAUAGUAUAGACUUGUGUACCCACUGAUAGCUGGAAUUAUAUGCUUGGUGUAAUUAAUGCAGACUAAUGUACAACCAUUGUUUAUUAUGUAUGUAUGCUUUCUUCCCCUUUUCUUUCUGUUCCCCCCACUUUUUCUGUUGAAAACUCAAAU